rnacentral:rRNA from 1 species
GUCGGUGGUCAUAGCAUUGGGGACACGCCCGGUCCCAUUCCGAACCCGGAAGCUAAGCCCAAUCACGCUGAUGGUACUGCACCCGGGAGGGUGUGGGAGAGUAAGUCACCGCCGACG